UUUUGGUUUUCUGUAGCACCUUUGUUCUCAGUAAGCUAUUUAAUCAAACUGAGGAAUGUUUAGAUAACCAAUCUAUGAGAGUAAGAUCAUUUUAAAACACAAAUAAGUUCUACCUUAUUUUGAAUAAUGUAAUUGAAAGAAAAAGAGAAGAAAUACCAUUCCCAUGUUUUGCACUGACUGCAUCAAAGAUUCAAACCCACCAGCAUGUUGGAGGAAAUAAUUCUAUGGAAGUGCCCCACUAAUUACCCAACUGUAAAGUCUUGCAGCUUCUUUAUGACUCCACAUUUCUCUGGAAUCUCCCUUAAUAUCAUUGCCCCUGAAAUUACUCAAUACUUAAAAAUAUCUGUAGGCUUUUCUUUUAAAUUAUCAAUGAAUUAGAUGAGCACACUGUUUUUUAUAUAUAUUAACAUCAUUUCUCCUAGUGGACUAUAUUUAAAUGCCAUCUAAUAUGGCUUAAUCUAUUUUAAAUGAGUUACUAAACUUCUUUGUAAACAUAUCUUUAGUAUCCAACAUCUCUUUUAGCACUAUAGCUGUGAUAGGAAUUUAUGCUGUUUGUGAACAAAUCUAUCCGGUCAGACACAUGAGCAUUACUGCCAAUUUCUUAGGGAUUUUAGAGCAGAAUUUUCUGGUAACCUUGUUUGUAUUCGUGUAAUCAAAUUAAAGUGGUGUAAACCUAUGCAUGGUAGUCAUGUUUACAGAGUAAAUUAUGGAAGAAUGAUAGAAAUAUGCUUGGGUUUUUGUGAAAGCAUCUGUAGACAUAGUUGAAAAUAAGAAGUCACAGAAUAAGGAUAUAAAAGUCUCAGAAAUAUGGUGAAAAAAUAUUUCUUCAAAACACAAAAGUUAGGAUUCAUAAUACAGGCCAGGACAAACAGUAAGUAAAAUAGUGAGUUUAUCUCUGGAAGGGAAAUGUCCCAAUAUUUACUUAAGAUGCCAGGCUUGAGAAAGAUAUUGAUAGAAGGAAACACAAAGUAGUAGAGGACCAUUCACCAAAAAGCUUUGGGGAACAGAAGUUCAACAAAACCAUGAUGUUACAAAUUGGGGAAAAAAUGGAUUAGGGAAGAAAAUGUAUUUGGAAGCUAAAACAGAAAAAAGUUCAAUGACUACUUUAUUCCUCUCAGUUAUAGCUGUGCAGCCAAAACUAUCCUUGCUCAGGUUCACAAUAAAAGACAUAUUUGUGCUUCAGGUGUGAAUCUCUAAUACUACAUCCUUAUCCCACACAGGACAUAUUAUCCAUAAUUGCAGGGAAAGGACGAGAAUCUGAUCACAUAUUUGAAAUUCUACGUGAAAAUUCACACUGGGGCCUCAGAGAGAGGAUUGACAGUGAACAACUCAUUGAAAGGAUUAAAGAAUGCGUGCUUGUAAUAGCAUCUGUCUUGAAGGACUUCAUUGCAAACAUUGAAGGAAGUUUACUUAUUUCUGACUUAUAAGAGAAUUGGCUUAGCGUCCCAGAUGAAGGAACUCUGAUUGGAAAAAUUAAUGCCAUCCAAAGACUUCUACUGAAGAUUCCUCAGGCAAACUUUAUCCUUCUAAAGCAUCUCAUUUGGUAAUAGUAAUAAUAAGAAACUCAUCCAUGAAUAAUUUAGACACUAACAGGUUAUCUAUCCGGAUAGCUCCUUAUGUUUUGUGGGAUCAGACUACAAAGGACGCAUUGUUUGGAAGUGAUGUAUCAAGAAAGGUAAGGGGAUCUGACUUUUGCCUUUGGGAACAAAAUUCUCAUUGUAAUGCAGGAAGUAGGAAAACUUUGGAAAGAUCAUUUCUGUAAAAGGAAACCCUAGGAUUCCAUUCUUCUGGAGUGGAGUGGAGUGGAAUAUAUAUCGAUCUGUUUCAGGAAAAUUAGGGGGGGAAAGAUGGUUAAUGUAGUUUAAAAUAAGUGAAUCAUUUCAGUCUUUCUUUUGUUCUUUCUUCAUAGAUAUUGAUUUUGGCCAACAGUAUGCUUCACAUAUAAUGGUAGUCAAAGAAGACUAGAGUGAAGUUUAAAAAAAUCCUGAUUAUCCAGGUUUUGCUUGUUUUUUUUUUUAUUCCAGCCCUAUUUUUGGAGUAUAUAAUACUUGUAUUUUACAGUAAUUAGACUAUUAUAUUAUUAAAUAUUCAUAUCAAGUGAAUUAAUGGUCAUAUAAAAGUACAUUUCAUAUAUAUAUAUUUCAUAUGUGUGUGUGCGUAUUUGUGUGUGUGUGUGUGUGUAUGUAUGUGACAAAGUGGUGUAUAUUAUUUUGUAUACUUUCAAUUACUUUACCACUAAUGUAUUCAGGUGCAGCUUUAAGUUCCUCAGGUCUCAAACCAGAUACACUCAAACUAAUAGAAGAAAAAGUGAGGAAGCAUCUCGAAUCCAUGGGCACUGGAGAAAAUUUCCUGAACAAAACACCAAUGGCUUAUGUUCUAAGACCCAGAAUCGACAAAUGGGAUCUCAUAAAACUGCAAAGCGUCUGUAAGGCAAAGGACACUGUGGUUAGGACAAAACGGCAACCAACAGAUUGGGAAAAGAUCUUUACCAAUCCUACAACAGAUAGAGGCCUUAUAUCCAAAAUAUACAAAGAACUCAAGAAGUUAGACCCCAGGGAGACAAAUAACCCUAUUAAAAGAUGGGGUUGAGAGCUAAACAAAGAAUUCACAGAUGAGGAAUGCCAAAUGGCUGAGAAACACCUAAAGAAAUGUUCAACAUUUUUAGUCAUAAGGGAAAUGCAAAUCAAAACAACCUUGAGAUUUCACCUCACACCAGUGAGAAUGGCUAAGAUCAAAAACUCAGAUGACAGCAAAUGCUGGCGAGGAUGUGAAGAAAGAGGAACACUCCUACAUUGUUGGUGGGAUUGCAGACUGGUACAACCAUUCUGGAAAUCAGUCUGGAGGUUCCUCAGAAUAUUGGACAUGGACCUACCUAAAGACCCAGCUAUACCUCUCUUGGGCAUAUACCCAAAAGAUGCCCCAACAUAUAAAAAAAGACACGUGCUCCACUAUGUUCAUAGCAGCCUUAUUUAUAAUAGCCAGAAACUGGAAAGAACCCAGAUGCCCUUCAACAAAGGAAUGGAUACAGAAGUUGUGGUACAUCCAUACAAUGGAAUAUUACUCAGCUAUCAAAAGCAAUGACUUUAUGAAAUUCAUAGGCAAAUGGAGGGAACUGGAAAAUAUCUUCCUGUGUGAGGUAACCCAAUCACACAAAAACACACAUGGUAUGCACUGAUGGAUAAGUGGCUAUUAGCCCAAAUGCUUGAAUUACACUAGAUGCACAGAACACGUGAAACUCAAGACGGAUGAUCAAAAUGUGAAAUCUUCACUCCUUCUUUAAAAGGGGAACAAGAAUACCCUUGGGAGGGAAUACGGAGGCAAAGUUUAGAACAGAGGCAGAAAGUACAUCCAUUCAGAGCCUGCCCCACAUGUGGCCCAUACAUAUACAGCCACCCAAUUAGAGAAGAUGGAUGGAGCAAAGAAGUGCAGGCUUACAAGAACCAGACGUAGAUCUCUCCUGAGAGACACAGCCAGAAUACAGCAAAUACAUAGGCGAAUUCCAGCAGCAAACCACUGAACUGAGAAGGGGACUCCCAAUGAAGGAAUCAGAGAAAGGACUGGAAGAGCUUGAAGGGGCUCGAGACCCCAUAUGAACAACAAUGCCAACCAACCACAGCUUCCAGGGAUUAAGCCAGUACCCAAAGACUAUACAUGGAUUGACCCUGGGCUCCAACCGCACUGAUGUCCUUUAUACAAAUCAUGAUCGACAACUAUCAUCAAAUAUUUGGAAA